AAUCAACUUAGAGGAAAGUGUAAUGGAGACUUAGUGGGGGCUUGGUGUAGGGGUGUGAAGAGGACAAGAGAAAGCAGAGGGCUGUGGUCAGGGAAUCAGCCUUGGAACCUCUGAUGGACAUACUGAGGACACUUCUCACAUGAAGAAACAGAUCUAGAUUGAGAUGACAUCAGAAUGCCUCCCAAGGACACUUGAUCUUUUGAAUCACUGAGAAGUAGGUGUCAACACUUAACAGGAACAACACACUUUCCCUAAGCCCACUCCUUAAACUUCAGGAAACAAAUUUACUUUAAUGAGAUAAGACUGUUGUUCUAGAAUUCUCUUUCAGUGUUUGAGCCACUUUUUCCAGUUCUUGUUGUUGAGGAGCAGUCUAGCAACAAAGAGAUGUAAGUAAUAAGCAGUUUCUGCCAAAGUUCCAGCCCCUUUCCUUUGUCUACCCAAAUCUUCCUGGGGGCAAAUUCAUAUGAAAAACUCACAGAAGACAAAUAAUAGAUACUAUAUUAAAACAACUUCUUAGGGUUUCUAUUGCUGUGAAGAGACACCAUGACCAUGGCAACUCUUAUAAAGGAAAACAUUUAAUGGGGGGGGGGUGUUACAAUUUCAGAGGUGUAGUCCGUUAUCUUCAUGGAGGGCCAUGGCAGCAUGCAGGCAGACAUGGUGCUGGAGAAGGAGCUAAGAGUCCUACAUCUUGAUCUGCAGGCAAUGAACUGGGACACUGGAUGUUGCUUGAGCAUAAGAGGCCUCAAAGCCCACCCCCACAGUGACACACUUCCUCCAACAAGGCCAUAACUAUUGCAAUAAAACCAUACCUCCUAAUAGUGCCAUUCCCUAUGAACUUACGGGGGCCAAUUACAUUCAAACUACCACAACAUCUAAUUAACCAGAUUGGAGACAAGACAAGAAGAGGUGACAAGAAAAAGAAAUUCAAGUAUAACUGAGUUUACCUGCCUACCUACAGCAAGGGAAAAUAACAUCUCUACAGUGGAGAAUUAUGAUAAAUAGCACCUUAACUGAGCCAUCAAAGUUCCAUCACCAGUAAUGGACAACUCUAAAAAGCCUUCAUCCAGUAACUGAUGGAAGCAGAUGCAGAGAUCCACAGCCAUGCACCAGGCCAAGCUCCAGAAGUCCAGUCAAAGAGAGGGAAGAGGGAUUAUAUGAGCAAGGAGUUCAAGAUCAGGAUGAAGAAAUCUACAGAGACAACUGAACCAAGCUCAAAGGAACUCACAAAUUUUAGACCGACAGCUGUGGAACCUGCAUGAGUGCAGACUAGACCCUUUGCAUACGAGAGACAGGUGUGAAUGAAGGUGAGACAUAACACAGCUUCUUGGAAAAACAACAUUUCUUAAUGGAAAAAGUUCACUUUCAGAUAAUAG